UGACGCAGCGACGCCGCGUGAGGGAUGAAGGCCUUCAGGGUCGUAAACCUCUUUCAGCAGGGAAGAAGCGAAAGUGACGGUACCUGCAGAAGAAGCACCGGCUAACUACGUGCCAGCAGCCGCGGUAAUACGUAGGGUGCAAGCGUUGUCCGGAAUUAUUGGGCGUAAAGAGCUCGUAGGCGGUCUGUCGCGUCUGCUGUGAAAACUCAGGGCUUAACCCUGAGCUUGCAGUGGGUACGGGCAGACUAGAGUGCGGUAGGGGAGACUGGAAUUCCUGGUGUAGCGGUGAAAUGCGCAGAUAUCAGGAGGAACACCGGUGGCGAAGGCGGGUCUCUGGGCCGUAACUGACGCUGAGGAGCGAAAGCAUGGGGAGCGAACAGGAUUAGAUACCCUGGUAGUCCAUGCCGUAAACGUUGGGCGCUAGGUGUGGGGCUCUUUCCAUGAGUUCCGUGCCGCAGCUAACGCAUUAAGCGCCCCGCC
rnacentral:rRNA from 1 species